GACGAACGCUGGCGGCGUGCCUAAUACAUGCAAGUCGGACGCAGUUGCGAACGGGUGAGUAACGCGUAGGUAACUGCCUAUUAGAGGGGGAUAACUAUUGGAAACGAUAGCUAUUACCGCAUAGUAGUAGAUGGACCUGCUUUGUAUUAGCUCGUAGGUUGGGUAAUGGCCUACCUAGGCGACGAGACAUAGCCGACCUGAGAGGGUGAUCUGACACACUGGGACGGAGAUACGGCCCAGACUCCUACGGGAGGAAGCAGGCGGGAAUCUUCGGCAAUGGGGGGAACACUGACCGAGCAACGCCGCGUGAGUGAAGAAGGUUUUCGGAUCGUAAAGCUCUGUUGUUAAGGAAGCGGUACUUAACCAGAAAGGGACGGCUAACUACGUGCCAGCAGCCGCGGUAAUACC
rnacentral:rRNA from 1 species